rnacentral:rRNA from 1 species
AAGGUUGGCUAAUCCUGGUCGGACAUCAGGAGGUUAGUGCAAUGGCAUAAGCCAGCUUGACUGCGAGCGUGACGGCGCGAGCAGGUGCGAAAGCAGGUCAUAGUGAUCCGGUGGUUCUGAAUGGAAGGGCCAUCGCUCAACGGAUAAAAGGUACUCCGGGGAUAACAGGCUGAUACCGCCCAAGAGUUCAUAUCGACGGCGGUGUUUGGCACCUCGAUGUCGGCUCAUCACAUCCUGGGGCUGAAGUAGGUCCCAAGGGUAUGGCUGUUCGCCAUUUAAAGUGGUACGCGAGCUGGGUUUAGAACGUCGUGAGACAGUUCGGUCCCUAUCUGCCGUGGGCGCUGGAGAACUGAGGGGGGCUGCUCCUAGUACGAGAGGACCGGAGUGGACGCAUCACUGGUGUUCGGGUUGUCAUGCCAAUGGCACUGCCCGGUAGCUAAAUGCGGAAGAGAUAAGUGCUGAAAGCAUCUAAGCACGAAACUUGCCCCGAGAUGAGUUCUCCCUGAGACUUUAGGUCUCCUGAAGGAACGUUGAAGACGACGACGUUGAUAGGCCGGGUGUGUAAGCGCAGCGAUGCGUUGAGCUAACCGGUACUAAUGAACCGUGAGGCUUAACCUU